rnacentral:lncRNA from 1 species
AAGCAAGACCUCCAAUUUGUUGAUUCAAAUAAUGUUCCAGUUCUCAGCAUGAAUUGCAGUUAAUGCUUAUGCUCUCCCUUUUCCUUAAUUUUCAGGCUUUUGUCGGGCAGAUGGUGGUUCCUGCACUGAUCUGCAACAGCUAUUGCUGAGGUUGAAGCCCUGCGUCUGUCUCAUAUACUUCCAGAACACCUGGCAGGUGAAAAGUUAGCUACUUCACGUCAGAGUACAUCAAAAAGCACUCCUUCUGAAAGGCAGAAGUUGUGAAGUCAGCUGCUUCUUUUAUGAAGGGAAGAACGUUAAUCUUUCUAUUUCGUGUGAUCUUAGAUUCCUAGAAGAACUGGUUGAAGAGCUUGCUCUCCUAGAGGUAAAUAUACAGAAGAAUAAUCUAACGUGUGUGGCUAUAUUAGCAGUAUCUUCUGAGACGCUAUUUCCAGAGUUGUUGAGUUUUUUGCCAUUAAAAAUAUUCUGUUGGCCUCUAUGAAACCUUUACCAAGAUGAGUAGUAAAGAACAGACCUUAGACCUGCAUGGCAGGCAGGUGCUGCAGAAUGCUUAGCCAGGCUUAUGCCUGCUGGAAGCAAACAGAGGAAUGCUGGCAGAACCCAGGCCUCCACUUUCAUCAGAGAACCCUACGGUAAUAUGAGCCUCACACUGCCAAAGUACUUGGACAUCUGACUGCUCUUCAGUUGCUGGUUUCAACAAAAGUUAGACAAUUAAACAUCGUCUUAGGGUUAGACAUUAAGGAUUUGUCUUGCAUUUAUUUUUGGAUUUUGUUGAAUGCUUCUCCCAGUGUGUGAAAUCUUCCCAAGAAGCUCUAAAAUGAGCAGAUGAGAAGGACUAUUGAGACUGCUUUUGUAUAUAGUAAAGGGACUAAUUCUAAAUUAAACUUGUUUGUUAUGUGCAUACGCUCCCAGACUAUUGGAUUCUUGCAGGAUUUUUGUUAAUGAAUACUUUGAACUGGUGAGGAAAAUUGUUUGCAUGAUCUGUAAUCUGUUCAUCCAUCUUAUUCUUAGGACUUUCCUGUUGACUUAUGUCCUUGUUGAAAGUUGUCUCUUGUAAAGGAAAAAUCUGAAUGAGACAUAGCAAUAAAGCCACUUAGCGUUCACCCA